CCUUUACCUAGACGCUGCGGGAUGCUGAGGUGGGACCAGCGGGGGAACGCCUGGAAAACUAAUACAACCUCUCCAAAGGCCCUGAGCAACCGCGGCCACCCCAGUCUGAGAGAACAGUGCGCCCCCUCUAAGGUGGGGGAACCCCCGACCUAAUCGCGGGAGCUGUGUGACUCGGAGGUUGAGGGGUAAAGUGCGGGGGUGUCAACCUCAGAGCAUCCAGCUGCGUUACCACGCCGCCCCCUGCCGGUGCCCUGCGGAGCUGGCUGUGUCCCCAAAUGGAGAAACCCGACCAGACCUGUGGCAGAGGCCAGCCUCCUCUAGCACAGCGCAUGAACACUGUGGGGGCUGGAUGAAGGGAACCUGGAACAAUUACACUAAUUGAUCACACACUGCUGACAAGACUGGAGGCCAGUGCUGCUACUGAAGGGGAACUGUGACCCUGGUCUCUGCCUUUCCCUGUAAAAAACCUAGGGCCAUACCAGUGUCUAAGAAGAGCAUGAAAGCUCUAAUUCAUUUGCCAUUAUUGGAGUAUCCAAUAGCAGAAUUGUUUUGAAUUAACAGAACUAGUAUCAACAGAGACCAAGGAAACCCUAAAAACCUGAUAGGGAUUUCCAUUCCCACUGUAGGAGUCACACAGAGGGUAUACCUCAUGAACUGUGCUGUUUACAGUGUACCUGCCUGAUUACCAGAGGAGUCACACUCCAGUGAGACUUACAGGGAAAGCAUGUCCCUCACACUCUAAUAUAGUGCACACUGUGUCAAAAUCCACUAAUCACUGCCAGAGAAGCCAGAAGGAAGCUACAAUAUGAAGUCCAGUUGGAACUAA
rnacentral:lncRNA from 1 species